UUAGAGUUUGAUCCUGGCUCAGGAUGAACGCUAGCGGCGGGCCUAAUACAUGCAAGUCGAGGGGCAGCACAGGUAGCAAUACCGGGUGGCGACCGGCGGACGGGUGCGUAACACGUAUGUAACCUACCCUAUACUUGGGGAUAGCCCGGAGAAAUCCGGAUUAAUACCCAAUAUGAUACAAAGAGGCAUCUCUUUGUGUUGAAAGUUCCGACGGUAUAGGAUGGGCAUGCGGCCGAUUAGCUAGUUGGUAGGGUAACGGCCUACCAAGGCAACGAUCGGUAGGGGGCCUGAGAGGGUGAUCCCCCACACUGGUACUGAGACACGGACCAGACUCCUACGGGAGGCAGCAGUAAGGAAUAUUGGUCAAUGGGCGCAAGCCUGAACCAGCCACGCCGCGUGAAGGAUGACGGCCCUAUGGGUUGUAAACUUCUUUUCUACGGGAAUAAACCUCAUCACGUGUGAUGAGCUGAAGGUACUGUAGGAAUAAGCAUCGGCUAACUCCGUGCCAGCAGCCGCGGUAAUACGGAGGAUGCAAGCGUUAUCCGGAUUCAUUGGGUUUAAAGGGUGCGUAGGCGGGACGGUAAGUCAGGGUGAAAGCCAACAGCUCAACUGUUGAAUUGCCUUUGAUACUGCCGUUCUUGAGUGUGGUUGAAGUGGGCGGAAUUUGACAUGUAGCGGUGAAAUGCGUAGAUAUGUCAAGGACACCGAUUGCGAAGCAGCUCACUAAG
rnacentral:rRNA from 1 species